ensembl:lncRNA
UGUGUGUGUGUGUGUGUGUGUGUGUGUGUGUGUGUGUGUGUGUGUGUGUGUGUGUGUGUGUGUGUGUGUGUGUGUGUGUGUGUCCACAGGAGGAGCAGGGGGACAGCGGCAUGGUUCUUCCCUCAGAGGAGCUCCAAAGUCUGGCUUGGAGCCCCGUGAAGAGCCAGGAACACAGCAGGUUCUUCACCUACUCCAAGUUCCCAGGGCGUCGGGUGCCAGGGGACCCGAGACGUGACAUCACGGGUCGCCAUGACAAUGAGCCAUCAGUCCUGCCGUGCGAUAGGGCGCCUGAGGAGGAAGAGGAGGAGGAAGAGGAGGAGGAGAUGGAGGGCGACCCUCCACCAGACUACCACUCGGUGUUCCUCUACCCUUCUGCCUAGCAUCCCCAGGUGUCUGAAGGAGGUCCUCAGCCUUGUUAAAACACGUCUUCUCUUCAAACUCUUCACAUCGAUACCUUCCUUUCAAUUUAGCAGUGAAGUGAAAAUUGAAAUAAGUGGAUGUAAUCUUUUGUUUGGUCUAUUGUUCCCUAUAUUACACGAUUCUGUUUUUAUGUAACACCAUGUUCAAACUUUUAUUUUAUUACAUAGUAUCUUAGUUGUUUUUUUUGCGUUUCUUUGCCUACCUCAUUAUCUACCCUCUUAAAGUUCCUACACAAAAUGUAAACACGACUUUUCAAUUUAUAAAACCUUGACAUAAAAAGAAAGUCUAUGGUAGAAAUACACAAAGCUUUGAGGGCAGAUAUAGAAAGUAAUAUAAAUAGCGGUUUCUUUCAUACCACCAGUGCUCAAAUGCUAGCGCAUUAUAUUUACACUGAACUUUAUCCUGAUGCUACAACAAGGCACUCAACCAACCCUUUCCAAGAGCAGCCAAUAGACUACCGUACUGUACUUGGCGUGUUUCACUGGACACUACAGAGCACCACAUUAUUGCUAUAUAGCACUCUUUAUUUAGCACACCAAUUCCUGGACUAGCUACUUCUUGUUAUUUAGCAGACUUGUAUGCUAGUGUUAUAUUUACUUCACUGGUACCUAUACUACUUAAGUGGUUUGUUUGAAAUAGUUUGUAGGCUUCAUCUAUAUCCAUAUGCUGGAAGAAAUUAAAUCCUACAUAAAAUAUAUGUAGGAGAGUUAGUUAUGAAUACAAUACAUAAAUGUUAUGUACACAUGAAUGCAUUUUAAUAUGCAAUGUUCAGUUGAG